rnacentral:tRNA from 2 species
AUUUAAAUAGUUUAAUAAAAAUACUGAUUUGUGGUGUCAGGGAUAUGAAUAAUUUCAUUUUAGAUC